rfam:Phaseolus vulgaris cultivar G19833 chromosome 8, whole genome shotgun sequence.
GUCGCCUUAGCUCAGAGGUAGAGCAUGUGGCUUUUAACCACGUUGUCGUAGGUUCGAUCCCCACAGGCGACA